rnacentral:lncRNA from 1 species
UACAACAAGCGGAGCAUGAUAGGUCGCUUUGACGCUUCAGCUAAUAAGAUGAUCCUGAUUGCUAGUGGACGUUUUAAAGCCUCCAGGGAACCACCAUCUUCCAGGAACCAAACGAGGUUAGUUUAUUUUCGUGCUGGACCACAUCAACAUCUUGAAGAACUUCCUGUCUUUUUUUUGAAGCUUUUAAGCAACCGCAACAUGCAGGAAAGUGUGAUUGCCUCAAGGGUCAGAUUCUUCAUGGCUGGCUCAAGUAUCAUCAAGAGCUGAUAUAUUUUGCAAGGGGACAGUGAGCAUUGGAUACCUACUUAUUGUGUCUGUUCUCAUUGAGCCACUGGAAAAAGGGUGGUAGCAUAGACAUCAACGAGAAACCACAGUGAGGAAGCUUCUGAGAACCAUGGCCGAGUGUCCCUCCAAAACAAAAUAAAGAAUGAACAGUUCCACCACAGGUAUCAAUACCUUUCUCUCACCACCUGUACCAAAUGUGAUGGAUUACCCAUACGGGGGACCUUAAGCCUCCCAUGUCCUUGGCUGGAGGCAAUGAAUGAAGCCCAGGCCCCAUCUAUCACAUUACCUGACGCUGUCUAAACCCACCAUAAAUAACAUCCCCAUUUUAACCCCUUUAAUUGAUGUUCAACAACAAUGAUGCUGUCCCACAAAAAAGUAGCAUCGCAGAAAGAUGACACGUGCAUCCACUACAUCUAGAGUGUGCAAUAACCAGUGAUAUCAGACGGAGCAGAGAAGUGUGGUUCGCACACCCAUAUAUGAUUGCAGUAGGUAAGGAAAAGUUUUAUAUCCCAACCCUCGUUUCGGAUUGAUGAUUACAUUUUACUAAUUACCUGCAUCCUCAACAGUUGCCACACCAACCCAGCCAACAAACAAACAC